ACGAACGCUGGCGGCGUGCCUAAUACAUGCAAGUAGAACGCACAGUUUAUACCGUAGCUUGCUACACCAUAAACUGUGAGUUUCGAACGGGUGAGUAACGCGUAGGUAACCUUCCUGGUAGCGUUGGAUAACUAUUGGAAACGAUAGCUAAUACCGCAUAAUUUUGAUUUUUGCAUUAUAAUUUUUUGAAUGAUGCUAUUGCAUCACUACCAUAUGGACCUGAGUUGUAUUUGCUAGUAGGUGAGGUAAAGGCUCACCUAGGCGACGAUACAUAGCCGACCUGAGAGGGUGAUCGGCCAAACUGGGAAUGAGAAAAGGACAAGAAGACUAAGGGAGGCAGCAGUAGGGAAUCUUCGGCAAUGGACGAAAGUCUGACCGAGAAACGACGAGUGAGUGAAGAAGGUUGUCGGAUCGUAAAGCUCUGUUGUAAGAGAAGAAAGGGUGUGAGAGUGGAAAGUUCACACUGUGACGGUAUCUUACCAGAAAGGGACGGCUAACUACGUG
rnacentral:rRNA from 1 species